CGCCGGGGACGACCCCGGAAGCCGGAUGCUUACGGCGGGACGGCCCGC
rnacentral:ncRNA from 1 species